rfam:Neotoma lepida isolate 417 scaffold_958, whole genome shotgun sequence.
GGCCUCCUAGUGCUUACCACAGGCUAUGUUCUUACACUGUAUAGAAAGAGGAGGCAGAAAGAGGAGGUGUGUGAGAGUGUGUAUACAAGU